rnacentral:tRNA from 1 species
GUCAGGGUGGCCGAGCGGUCUAAGGCGCUGCGUUCAGGUCGCAGUCUCCCCUGGAGGCAUGGGUUCGAAUCCCACCUCUGACA